GCCCUUCCCUUGCCUCUUUCCGAAGCCUAUAUUCGUUGCGCCGUCGCAAGACGGCUAUGGCGAUAAAUGGACAUCGAAAUAGGUCUUUCGGACCCGGGGGCAGUACCCGGCGCCUCCACCCAAGCCCGCUGUGUCAGGCGGGUUUCGGCGGGGGCGAAAUAGGUUCGACGGGGGACUGAAGGGGUGCUCUUUUGCCCGGCAUGAUACCGCCGUUAUCGGGUCAAAACUAUAGUUGCCAACGACAACUAUGCUCCGGUGGCCCUCGCUGCGUAAUGCAGCGCUGGUACUGGGAUUCAAGUCCUAGGGGUUUGCACUUCUAGGCGGGGCCCGGAGGCGCCUGGCAACAGAAGCCUCCACU
rnacentral:tmRNA from 1 species